rnacentral:rRNA from 1 species
UACGAAGGAUUCGAGCGUUAUCCGGAUUUAUUGGGUUUAAAGGGUGCGUAGGUGGCGUCGUAAGUCAGGUGUGAAAUCUCGGGGCUUAACUCCGAAACUGCAUUUGAUACUGCGGUGCUUGAGGACUGGAGAGGAGACUGGAAUUUACGGUGUAGCAGUGAAAUGCGUAGAGAUCGUAAGGAAGACCAGUGGCGAAGGCGGGUCUCUGGACAGUUCCUGACACUGAGGCACGAAGGCCAGGGGAGCAAACGGG